rnacentral:rRNA from 1 species
UGAACGCUGGCGGCGUGCCUAAUACAUGCAAGUCGAGCGAAUGGAUUAAGAGCUUGCUCUUAUGAAGUUAGCGGCGGACGGGUGAGUAACACGUGGGUAACCUGCCCAUAAGACUGGGAUAACUCCGGGAAACCGGGGCUAAUACCGGAUAACAUUUUGAACCGCAUGGUUCGAAAUUGAAAGGCGGCUUCGGCUGUCACUUAUGGAUGGACCCGCGUCGCAUUAGCUAGUUGGUGAGGUAACGGCUCACCAAGGCAACGAUGCGUAGCCGACCUGAGAGGGUGAUCGGCCACACUGGGACUGAGACACGGCCCAGACUCCUACGGGAGGCAGCAGUAGGGAAUCUUCCGCAAUGGACGAAAGUCUGACGGAGCAACGCCGCGUGAGUGAUGAAGGCUUUCGGGUCGUAAAACUCUGUUGUUAGGGAAGAACAAGUGCUAGUUGAAUAAGCUGGCACCUUGACGGUACCUAACCAGAAAGCCACGGCUAACUACGUGCCAGCAGCCGCGGUAAUACGUAGGUGGCAAGCGUUAUCCGGAAUUAUUGGGCGUAAAGCGCGCGCAGGUGGUUUCUUAAGUCUGAUGUGAAAGCCCACGGCUCAACCGUGGAGGGUCAUUGGAAACUGGGAGACUUGAGUGCAGAAGAGGAAAGUGGAAUUCCAUGUGUAGCGGUGAAAUGCGUAGAGAUAUGGAGGAACACCAGUGGCGAAGGCGACUUUCUGGUCUGUAACUGACACUGAGGCGCGAAAGCGUGGGGAGCAAACAGGAUAGAUACCCUGGUAGUCCACGCCG